GGAGCUAUGGCUUAGUGGGUAAAGCUGCUACCUGCAGUGUUGGCAUCCUAUACGGAUACUGGUUCAAGUCCCAGUGGCUCCA
rnacentral:tRNA from 1 species